GAUGAACGCUGGCGGCGUGCCUAAUACAUGCAAGUCGAGCGGACGGACGAGAAGCUUGCUUCUCUGAUGUUAGCGGCGGACGGGUGAGUAACAUGUGGAUAACCUACCUAUAAGACUGGUAUACCUUCGGGAAACCGUAGCUUAUACCGGAUAAUAUUUUGAACCGCAUGGUUCAAAAGUUAAAGUCGGUCUUGCUGUCACUUAUAGAUGGAUCCGCGCUGCAUUAGCUAGUUGGUAAGGUAACGGCUUACCAAGGCAACGAUGCAUAGCCGACCUGAGAGGGUGAUCGGCCACACUGGAACUGAGACACGGUCCCGACUCCUACGGGAGGCAGCAGUAGGGUAUCUUCCGCAAUGGGCGAAAGCCUUACGGAGCGACGCCGCGUGAGUGAUGAAGGUCUUCGGAUCGUAAAACUCUGUUAUUAGGGAAGAACAUAUGUGUAAGUAACUGUGCCCAUCUUGACGGUACCUAAUCAGAAAGCCCCGGCUAACUACGUG
rnacentral:rRNA from 1 species